rnacentral:lncRNA from 1 species
GUUUCAGUCUCUCUCUGUCGUCCAGUUCUGUAUUGACAAAUGCACUAUGUCACAUAUCUACUGACAAAGUGACAUAAAGAAUAGUUUCUCCUUCUUAAAAAUUCCCUUUGCCAGGGCUGGGGAUGCCCGUGGGUGGUGGAGCACUUGAUCAUCACGCACGAGGCCCUGGGUGCCAGCCCCAGCUCCGGAAACCAAGAAAAUAGCCCUCAUGAUCCAUUAUGCACCUCAAGCCCUGAAACCACUAAACGUUUUCCUGUCUCCAUAGUUUUGCCCUCAUUCAAGAUGACACAGGGUUGGAACUAGUCUGUAGCCUCUUAAGACUGGCUUCUUUCACGAGCUUUUAAGAUUCCUUCAUGUCUUUUCCUGAGCUGUUUCACUAGCCCUGCCAUUCUGAAUACUGUAGUUUUAUAGUAAGUUUAAACUUACUUAAAAGAUUAAAAAAACUUUUAAGUUUGUUCUUCCCCUCAUGACUACUCCAGGUCUUUUGAUUUUCUACCUGAUAUUUAGAAUCAAUCUGUUGACACAAAAUAACUUUCACAAUUUGACUUUCUGGGGUUCUGAUCCAGGUUGUGAGAAUAAACUUGGGAAGAAAUAUCAGCUGAACAAUAUGGAGUCUUUGUAUCCAUGAACAUAGACUACCUUUCCAUUUGUUGAGCUCUUUGGUUUCUUUCAUCAGAGUUUUAUAGUUUGCCUCAAACAUAUCCUAUACAUAUUUGUUAGGUUUAUACUUAUGUGUUUUUCAUUUUUUUUUUUGUAUGUAUGUUUAUGUGACUGGCGUUAAGUUUUAAUUCAAAUUCCAAUUUUUUGUCGCUGGUAUAUGGGAAAGCAAUUGACUUUUGUCUAUUACUCUUGUAGCCUGAACUUGUGCUACAAUGAUUAAUUCUAGGAGGUUUCUGGUUGACUCUUUGGGAUUUUAGCAUAAAGAUAAUAAUAUCAUCCACAAAAUGUGUUAGCUUUCUCUCACUGUGACAAAACACCUGAGAAAAACAGCUUAAAAAGAAGAAAGGUUUAUUUUGGCUGGUAGUAUCAAAGGCUUUAGUCCACGGUCACUUGUUUUGUUGCUUUGGGGCCUAUGGCAAGAAGAGUGCUCACCCCAUGGCAAAGAGAAAGAGGAAGGAGCUGGGCCCCCAAGCACACACUUAACACCCUCACUUCUCUCCACAAGGCCUGGCCUCCCAAGAUGUCCACUACUUCCCAACAGUAUCAUGGGAGCCUUUGAAGGACAUUUAAGAUCCAAACCAUAACACAAAGACACUUUGGCUUCUUCCUUCUCAGUCUACAGACUGAUUCUUCUUUUCUUUGUCUUGUUGCAUUAGGUCGGACUUCCAGUAUGAUGGUGAAGCGCUGGGGAGGGGACGUGGCUGCUUUGUCCUUGAUGUUUAGGGGACAGCAAUGGGGUUUCUCACCACCAAGCAAUGUGUUAGCAGCAGGGUUUUAGCAGAUGGAUUUUUUGUCCAGGUCGAGUUUCUUCUUCUCCCUCCACUCUGCUCCUGGGUCCCUGAGGGUUCUUAUCAGGAUGGUGUUGGAUGUCAUUAAAUGUCUCUUCUGCACCUAUUGACAUUGGUGACUUCUUUCUUCCUUAGCCUGUCGAUGCGAUGGGUUAUAUUAGUUGACAUUUGGAUGUCGAAUCAGGCUUACGGGACUGGGAUGAGUCUUGCAGGGUUGGAAGUCAGAGUUCAGUGCCCACGUUAUUGGGUCUGACUCAUGAACAUCUUUGAGGACUUUGGCCUCUGAGUUCAUGAGGGAUAAUGGUCUGUAGUUUUCCUUUCUUGUAGAUACUGGUUUGGGGUUUCAGUAAUAAUGUACUGCUGGUCUCACAAUCAAGUCAGAUUCUUUCUGCUUCUAUUUUCUGGAAGGGAUGGUAAAAAAAUGGUAUUAUUUCUUCCUUAAGUGUUUG